GCUGCAAUAAGACAAGCUCAGAUUUUCUACAUACCAGAUAGAGCGAAGGAUAAAAACAACUAAAAAAUUCUCAGAAAAUUGAUUGAAGCAAAAAUGACGCUCAAAGUAUAUUCAGAUAGAAUGUCCCAACCAUCCCGUGCUAUUCUAAUCUUCUGCAAAGUAAAUGGGAUUGACUUUGAGGAAAUCAAAGUGGAUUUAGUGAAGCGCCAGCAUCAAACUCCUGAAUUCAAAGAAAUAAAUCCUAUGGGACAAGUUCCUGCUAUUGUUGACGGAAGAUUUAAGCUGUUUGAAAGUCAUGCAAUUCUCAUCUAUCUUGCUUGUGUAUAUCCUGGAAUCCCAGAUCACUGGUAUCCUGCUGAUCUUUUCAGGAGAGCUAAAAUUAAUUCAGUAUUGGAUUGGCAUCACUCUAACUUACGUCCUGGUGCAGCCAAGUAUGUUCUAUACACUGUUCUUGGGCCUGCCCUUGGCAUUCCGCCGAAUCCACAAGCAGCUGCUGAAGCAGAGAAAAUUCUUUCAUCGUCUUUGUCAAAAAUAGAGUCCAUUUGGCUCAAGGGGAAAGGCCAGUACUUGCUAGGUGGCCUUCAACCAUCCAUAGCAGAUCUAAGCCUGGUUUGUGAAAUUAUGCAACUUGAGGUAUUGGACGAAAAGGAUCGAAUUCGCAUUCUCGGUCCUUACAAGAAAGUUCAGCAAUGGAUUGAGAGUACUAAAAGUGCAACAAGUCCUCAUUUUAAUGAAGUUCAUAAAAUCCUUUUCAAGUCCAAAGCAAGAUUCCAAGAGCAGCGGUCCAAGUUGCCAUCCAAAAUGAAAAUAGCUUUAGUGGCGGGAAAGGUUCUUGGUAGUUUUGGGCAUGUGUAUUGAGGUGGAAUGGAUUCAAAGAGCCGAGAGUUUCGAUUCGAGGAUGAAGUCUUUACUUAUGUUUUUAUGUGAAAAUAGUAUGGCAGCGGGAAGGUUCUUGGUAGCUUGGGAAUGUGUAUUGAGGGAAAAUGGAAAUCGGUGGACUGCGCGAAAAAUUCGAGGAUGAAGUUGUUUAAGUCUUUUAAGAUUAUGUUUUAUAUGUAUUUUCUGCAUUUUUUUUUGUAACAAAUUUUAAGAUUUAAGUUAUGUUCUAUCUUAUUUUCAAAUAAUGGAAUCCCAUAUCCUAACCGCAUUUUUAUGUAUUUAACCUUUGCUUUACAGUUUAUAAUAAAGUUAUGGUUA